UCUUAAAGCAGAUACAUUUAAGCAAUUCUAACACACACAGACUUGGAGAGACCUACAAAUUAAAAGAUAUAUAGCCCUCACUGUCAGUGUCAAGCAAUUAUACGCCACCAAAUGGCUUGUGAUUUGGCAUCUCCUCCUGAUAAAGGCUUACGACAGAUAGGACGAAGCAGAGGUCAGGAAUUCCGCUGAGUACAACCUGAGGAGAUUCUUCAAAUUGCUUGACUUUCAUUCGAGUCCCCCAGGACACCAUCAGAAAACUGGUCCCCCUCGAUUCUGGUUGCAAAGCUUUUCUUCUUGAGUCUUCAGAGAGAUUCUGAGUGAAGAUUUGGGAGGCCGAACCACCGAAUUGCACUCUUAACCCCCGACGUCGGCUCAGCCCUUUCCAGCCUUGAGUAAUUGGUUAUAGUUACUCAUUUGCUGGCCACAAUUAGCAUAGCAAAUUAUCGGAGCAGAGACAAUUUCUUAGCUACCCCAGGUUACUAAAUAAUUUAAAGAGGGGGAAGACAAUGGAUUCCCAUCAAAUAUGCUGUGCUUUCUUUAUGCCAUUAAGAAACACCAUUCUAAGUGCCUGGAAGCCAGCCUGCCUGCUUACACUGUGGAGCCCUGCAGGGUCUCUGCAGUGCAUCUGUGUCUAUGGCUUCUGAGGAGGAUGACUGAUUAG
rnacentral:lncRNA from 1 species